UGCAUCGGCCGGGAAUCGAACUCGGGCAGACCGCGUGGCAGGCGCGAGCAUUCUACCACUGAACCACCGAUGG